AAUUAUUAUUUUCUGCCUCUUGAAGCAUGCUUGGGCGAGAGUAGUACUAGGAUGGGUGACCUCCUCGGAAGUCCUCGUGUUGCAUUUC
rfam:Triticum urartu cultivar G1812 contig466535, whole genome shotgun sequence.